rnacentral:piRNA from 1 species
GAGUAACUUAAAUGACAUCAGGGUGCUAAAU